rnacentral:rRNA from 1 species
UACGAAGGUUCCAAGCGUUGUUCGGAAUAACUGGGCGUAAAGAGUGCGUAGGCGGCGCGUAAAGUCAGAUGUGAAAUCCCGGGGCUCAACCUUGGAACGGCAUCCGAUACUCACGCGCUUGAGGACUGGAGGGGAGUCUGGAAUUCACGGUGUAGCAGUGAAAUGCGUAGAUAUCGUGAGGAACACUAGUGGCGAAGGCGAGACUCUGGACAGUUCCUGACGCUGAGGCACGAAGGCUAGGGGAGCGAAGGGG